GAUCUAAUACUUAACAUUACUACUACUAAUGGAUCUUAUACUUAACAUCACUAGUUUUUUACUUCUUUUAAAAGGGUAAUCUUGUGGUAGAUUUGAAAAUUUGACCAUAUUUCCACAAAUAACAUAGAAAGGAGUUACUAUUUACCUAUAAAAAUAUAUUGGUUAUGUGCAAUAGACAAAUGUCAGGUUAUUAAUAUAAAAAAUUAAUCAUUAUUUAUUGAUUGAAAAUAAUG
rnacentral:lncRNA from 1 species